rnacentral:rRNA from 1 species
GUAGGUGGCAAGCGUUGUCCGGAAUUAUUGGGCGUAAAGCGCGCGCAGGCGGUCCUUUAAGUCUGAUGUGAAAGCCCACGGCUCAACCGUGGAGGGUCAUUGGAAACUGGGGGACUUGAGUGCAGAAGAGGAGAGUGGAAUUCCACGUGUAGCGGUGAAAUGCGUAGAGAUGUGGAGGAACACCAGUGGCGAAGGCGACUCUCUGGUCUGUAACUGACGCUGAGGCGCGAAAGCGUGGGGGGGAGCGAACAGGAUUAGAUACCCUGGUAGUCCACGCCGUAAACGAUGAGUGCUAAGUGUUAGAGGGUUUCCCGCCUUUAGUGCUGCAGCUAACGCAUUAAGCACUCCGCCUGGGAGUACGGUCGCAAGACUG